rnacentral:rRNA from 1 species
AUGUGCCUACGGGAGGCAGCAGUAGGGAAUCUUCCACAAUGGACGAAAGUCUGGUGGAGCAACGCCGCGUGAGUGAAGAAGGGUUUCGGCUCGUAAAGCUCUGUUGGUAGUGAAGAAAGAUAGAGGUAGUAACUGGCCUUUACUUUACGGUAAUUACUUAGAAAGUCACGGCUAACUACGUGCCUGCAGCCGCGGUAAUACGUAGGUGGCAAGCGUUUUCCGGAUUUAUUGGGCGUAAAGCGAUU